rnacentral:rRNA from 1 species
CCUGGGAACUGCGUUNUGAACUGGGUAGCUAGAGUAUNUCAGAGGGGGGUAGAAUUCCACGUGUAGCAGUGAAAUGCGUAGAGAUGUGGAGGAAUACCGAUGGCGAAGGCAGCCCCCUGGGAUAAUACUGACGUUCAUGCUCGAAAGCGUGGGUAGCAAACAGGAUUAGAUACCCUGGUAGUCCACGCCCUAAACGAUGUCGAUUAGCUGUUGGGCAACUUGAUUGCUUAGUAGCGUAGCUAACGCGUGAAAUCGACCGCCUGGGGAGUACGGUCGCAAGAUUAAAACUCAAAGGAAUUGACGGGGACCCGCACAAGCGGUGGAUGAUGUGGAUUAAUUCGAUGCAACGCGAAGAACCUUACCUGGUCUUGACAUGUACGGAAGAACUCAGAGACGAGUUUGUGCCUUCGGGAGCCGUAACACAGGUGCUGCAUGGCUGUCGUCAGCUCGUGUCGUGAGAUGUUGGGUUAAGUCCCGCAACGAGCGCAACCCUUGUCAUUAGUUGCCAUCAUUUAGUUGGGCACUCUAAUGAGACUGCCGGUGACAAACCGGAGGAAGGUGGGGAUGACGUCGAGUCCUCAUGGCCCUUAUGACCAGGGCUUCACACGUCAUACAAUGGUCGGUACAGAGGGUAGCCAAGCCGUGAGGUGGAGCCAAUCCCAGAAAACCGAUCGUAGUCCGGAUUGCACUCUGCAACUCGAGUGCAUGAAGUCGGAAUCGCUAGUAAUCGCAGGUCAGCAUACUGCGGUGAAUACGUUCCCGGGUCUUGUACACACCGCCCGUCACACCAUGGGAGUGGGGGAUACCAGAAGUAGGUAGGGUA